rnacentral:rRNA from 1 species
UAGGGAAUAUUGCGCAAUGGGGGAAACCCUGACGCAGCGACGCCGCGUGGGUGAUGAAGGCUUUCGGUAUGUAAACUUCGAAAGAAUAGGAAGAAUAAAUGACGGUACUAUUUAUAAGGUCCGGCUAACUACGUGCCAGCAGCCGCGGUAAUACGUAGGGACCAAGCGUUGUUCGGAUUUACUGGGCGUAAAGGGCGCGUAGGCGGCAUGACAAGUCACUUGUGAAAUCUCUGGGCUUAACCCAGAACGGCCAAGUGAUACUGUCGCGCUAGAGUGCAGAAGGGGCAAUCGGAAUUCUUGGUGUAGCGGUGAAAUGCGUAGAUAUCAAGAGGAACACCUGAGGUGAAGACGGGUUGCUGGGCUGACACUGACGCUGAGGCGCGAAAGCCAGGGGAGCAAACGGGAUUAGAUACCCCGGUAGUCCCUGAGCGGGCUGGCAAGGCGCAU